rnacentral:rRNA from 1 species
UACGUAGGGUGCGAGCGUUGUCCGGAAUUACUGGGCGUAAAGAGCUCGUAGGUGGUUUGUCGCGUUGUUCGUGAAAACCGGGGGCUUAACCCUCGGCGUGCGGGCGAUACGGGCAGACUUGAGUACUGCAGGGGAGACUGGAAUUCCUGGUGUAGCGGUGGAAUGCGCAGAUAUCAGGAGGAACACCAACGGCGAAGGCAGCACUCUGGGCCGGUACUGACGCUGAGGAGCGAAAGCGUGGGGAGCAAACAGG